rnacentral:rRNA from 1 species
GACGAACGCUGGCGGCGUGCUUAACACAUGCAAGUCGAACGGGAUCCAAAGGCUUUUUGUUUUUGGUGAGAGUGGCGAACGGGUGAGUAACACGUGAGUAACCUGCCCCCUUCUUUUGGAUAACCGCAUGAAAGUGUGGCUAAUACAGGAUAUUCCAGGCUGGUCGCAUGAUUGGUUUGGGAAAUGGUUUGGUCUGGUGGGGGAUGGGCUCGCGGCCUAUCAGCUUGUUGGUGGGGUGAUGGCCUACCAAGGCGGUGACGGGUAGCCGGCCUGAGAGGGUGGGCGGUCACACUGGGACUGAGAUACGGCCCAGACUCCUACGGGAGGCAGCAGUGGGGGAUUUUGCACAAUGGGCGCAAGCCUGAUGCAGCGACGCCGCGUGAGGGAUGAAGGCCUUCGGGUUGUAAACCUCUUUCGCUGGGUUGAAAGGCCAUGCUUUGGGUGUGGUUGAUUUGAACUGGUAAAGAAAUACCGGCUAACUACGU